rnacentral:misc_RNA from 1 species
ACGCAUAAUGGGUUGAACCUGUUUGGCUAUUUUCUCAAGCAUCUUCCUCGCUUCUUCUUCUCCUGGUUUCUUCAGGGCUUUGAUUUCCCAUACUUUAUUUAAAUCCCCCAAAUUCAUCCCUUUCUUGUUUUGGAAUGGAAAAAUCAAAACCCUAAUAAACCCGGAGUAUUCAAAAGCUGCAAAAAAAUUCGUUAAUUGAAAUCCAUCGCCGUCAUUGUUGCAAGUGUUGUGAUCAGAUUCAGAAUUCUCAUUUGUUCAAUCGGAAAUAAAAGGAAAAGAAUCGGUAUCGCAAUUGGUCCACAAUUUUUUUGAUUUCGU